rnacentral:rRNA from 1 species
AUCGAACGCUGGCGGCAGGCCUAACACAUGCAAGUCGAGCGAGCGGCGGACGGGUGAGUAAUGUCUGGGAAACUGCCCGAUGGAGGGGGAUAACAACUGGAAACGGUAGCGAAUACCGCAUACCAUCAGAUGUGCCCAGAUGGGAUUGGCUAGUAGGUGGGGUAAUGGCUCACCUAGGCGACGAUCCCUAGCUGGUCGGAGAGGAUGACCAGCCCAACUGGAACUGAGACACGGUCCAGCCACCUACGGGAGGAAGCAGUGGGGAAUAUUGCACAAUGGGCGCAAGCCUGAUGCAGCCAUGCCGCGUGUGUGAAGAAGGCCUUCGGGUUGUAAGGCACUUUCAGCGGGGAGGCGUUACCCGCAGAAGAAGCACCGGCUAACUCCGUGCCAGCAGCCGCGGUAAUAC